GUUGAUUGUCAAGUCUCCUACGGAGUUGCUUCAACUUUUUAAGAGGCCCCAGUGAAUGCUGUGAAGGUACAAAUCUAUUGCCGUUUAACUAAAAAAGUCGUACAAGCUAUGGCAACCUUCAAUAAGGUACUAUCCCUUGUUCCUUGAAAUCCUUCUUGGAGUAAAGUUGCAUUUUGUCGUCCACCCAGUCUGGGUAAAAGACUCGAGCAACCUAACAUCAAAGUCUGAAGGUACUGCUGAAGAGGCUUAUACAUGGAAUGAGGUAAGUUAUUGGACAGUCCAUUUUUAACACGCAGGGGAUUUUUGUUCCGAUUGCUUCAGUUGAGUACAAGGGGAAAGUCUUCGUGUCUGGUCAGGCUAAUAAUGCAUACUUCUUCCUUGGGUUGGGUAUUUGGUGCAAUUUGCGUUCAUGAUGAUAUGCUCCCGGUAGCCUGUAAGUUCUGCAUAAUGUUACUUUGUCCAUAUUAUGUUUCGUGUGUGGUUGGUGCAGGGAUAUGUUGAUGUGCAAUUGAUUGAGUUAGAAGAGCUACAAAAUGAUGCUACUCCUAACUUUGUAGAGAAAGUUUUAACUUUGUUUUAUAAAGACUCUGCUCGGUUGAUCCAUAACAUUGACCACUCACUGUGAGUAUCUUUCUCCUGUUCUGGUGUUCUUUACUAAUUUUCUUAAUCCAAGCUUGAUAACUAUAUGCACCAGUUCAAGGGCAGUAACAACAAAUUGAUAGUUGAAAUAAUACUGCAUAGUUAAGUCAUGUAAUAUAGUAAUUGGUCUUGUGCAGCAUUGUUAAGUAUCUAUCGAAAACAAAGGUAAGGAUUAGGUUAUUACACUGUGAACGUUAUGUUGUCGUCUGGUGGAGCAUUGGAGCGAAGAAGGUCAAAACUGAAUGUACACAGUUCAUGGAAUACUGCCUAGCAGGAAAUGUAGAAGGGCAUUACUAAUCUUUAUUGGAUUUAUUUUAUAUAUACAGCCUAAAGAAUUUUUGCAGGAAUUAACAUAAUGUAGGUUACUUGCCUCUUUUUUUGAAUUACUAAUCCCUUUAUUAUGGGUACUUAUGAGUUAUGAUAUGAUAGUGUAAUUUUUUUUUAUA